GCAAACUUGGUCAUUUAGAGGAAGUAAAAGUCGUAACAAGGUUUCCGUAGGUGAACCUGCGGAAGGAUCAUCAAAGGAUUAUAAAUCUUUUUUCACCUUGUGUGCAACUAUCGAAAAAAGGUAGCCUUUGGGAGAAGGGUUUUCAGAUUUCAUGGGAUCUCAUCUCCCAGAGGUAUUAUUCAAUCUACAAUUUUUUUAUGACUAAAAUUUUAAUAAAAAUUUUUUUUAAUAAAACAACUUUCAACAACGGAUCUCUUGGCUCUCGCAUCGAUGAAGAACGCAGC
rnacentral:misc_RNA from 1 species